AUAGACCACAGUUUAUUUAUUUAUCCAUUGACAGACAUUUGGGUUGUUGUCAGUUUUGGGCUAUUGUCAGUAGUCCUGCUGCGGGCAUUCGUGUACAACAUUUGUUUAAAUAGCUGUUCCCAGCUACGUGUGGUGGCUUAUGCCUAUAAUCCCAGCACUUUGGAAGGCCGACGCGGGUGGAUCACCUGAGGCCUCCCACAGUGCUGGAUUACAGGCGUGAACCACUGUGCUCGGCCAGCAAAUGGAUUUUGAACCUGUUCUGUGAAGUCUUACAGAAAAGGAGAGCUGGGAAGGAGAUGGAUGUGAGGCCCCUGGAGAAAGACAGACCUGGGCCCAAGCCUGGGACCUGCAGGUUCCGUCAUCGCUGCGAGACUCGGUCAUUCAUCAGCAGGAUGGGGCUCCCCAGAGUAGCUCCCUGGCAGGAUUGGUGAGGAUGAAAAUAGAGAUGCCUGUCCCAGCCAGCACUCCAGAGGCGUUGGCAAUCACUGCUAAAGGUGACACACUAUUUUUGGUUUUUAGGGGUAAAGCAAGACCUUAGCAAGGUCCCAGGCUGCAGGGCUGAAUGCUGUGGUGGCUACAGGGGUGAGCGAGAUGCCUGGCUCCGGGAUCCUAAAACCAGACAGUGUCUGUAGAGGGAAAACAUCCUCCAUGUCACUGGAAGGGCCACCAUCCAGGGUGCACGUCACCAGGGCUACAGGGAAGGGACAUGGUGCUCUAGGCUCAGAGAAGGGAGGGAUCUCCCUGGCUCGGGCGGGGUAGGAAGAUCCUUAUGAAGAAAUGACAUUUGCAGAAGGCCUCUAAGAAAGUGGAGGGUUUUCACAAACCAAAAGCAAGCAGAAAGCACGGCUGGAGUGAACCUUGCUAUGGGGGCUCACAGGGUUGCACCUUCUCACCAGAGCAUAGGGCAGGGGUGGGGAAGGAAUGAGAGCCACAGACGGGAAUGAAGUGGAAGGUAAGGUCUCAAAGGCAAGGCUGAGGGACCUGCCCUUCACUCCAACUUGCCCCAGGCCUAGCAAGGUGAGCAGGGAUGGUUUCCUGGAGGGAAACAUCAGCUCCGAUCAGAGAGGAAAUCCCAGGCCACCCCCUGCCUUUGUGGCAGGAAGCACUCAAGGCCUCUGGCUAGGAUCUGGAGCCCCUGAGGCUGAGGUCAGGUGGCAGGGCCAGUGUCACCCUCCUCUGCCCCAGGGUGAGUGUGGCACUGAACCCCAGCACCAUUUGUGCUUUCUGUCCCCCUGGAUCUUGGGCCCGGCUGCCCCCCAAUGCAGGGAUGCCCACCACGGCCGUCCUCCUGGAUGCAAUCCUUCCCAGCCCUCAGGCAUCUGCCAGCCUCCUCCUUCUCUGGCCUUCCCACAUCUCAGCCUGGUUCCUGGACACAGAUGCCGUGGUGUGCUGGAGCCGGCUCCUACUAGCUGGCAGGAGUCAAUCUGCACAUCUCUCCCCAAAACCAUGAUCAGCGAAAUCCUCUUAGUAAGCUUGAAGUUGGCCAUGCUGGGAGUAUUUACACCAUGGGAAGUGGCAAAUGCUACCAGUUAGGUAGGGCUACUCUCUCUCAGAGAGCCAGUUGUUAGACUUACUAGCACACCUCUACACAGACAAUGCUAGCCAAGCUGGUCUGGAUUAGAACUCAUUUAAAAGCUGCUCUCUCUGCAUGCUCAGGGUGAGCAGAGCUGCUGAAAUGGCAGAGUGAGGGACAGCUGAUGAGUAGGAGAGACCCUCCAGCUGGGUCACUGAGGGUCUUCCAGGAGAAAUGACACUUUCUAUUCAGCA
ensembl:lncRNA novel transcript